rnacentral:rRNA from 1 species
GUCUAGAAAAUUGGGCAAUGGGCGCAAGCCUGACCCAGCGACACCGCGUGGAGGAUGAAGUCUUUCGGGAUGUAAACUCCUGUCAGGCGGAGCGAUGCUCCGCGCUCUAACUAAGCGCGGAGUGACGGUACUGCCAAAGGAAGCCCCGGCUAACUACGUGCCAGCAGCCGCGGUAAUACGUAGGGGGCAAGCGUUGUCCGGAAUCACUGGGCGUAAAGGGUGUGUAGGCGGUUGAGUAAGUCAGUGGUGAAAGCUCCGGGCUCAACCCGGAAACCGCUUCUGAUACUACUUGGCUUGAGGGCAGAAGAGGAGGUUGGAACUUUCGGUGUAGCGGUAGAAUGCGUAGAUAUCGAAAGGAACGCCGAUAGCGAAGGCAGACCUCUGGGAUGCACCUGACGCUGAAACACGAAAGCUGGGGGAGCAAACAGGAUUAGAAACCCCAGUAGUCC